rnacentral:misc_RNA from 1 species
GAUGAAGAACGUAGCGAAAUGCGAUAAGUAAUGUGAAUUGCAGAAUUCAGUGAAUCAUCGAAUCUUUGAACGCACAUUGCGCCCCCUGGUAUUCCGGGGGGCAUGCCUGUCCGAGCGUCAUUACAACCCUCAAGCUCAGCUUGGUGUUGGGCCCCGCCGCCCCGGCGGGCCCUAAAGUCAGUGGCGGUGCCGUCCGGCUCCGAGCGUAGUAAUUCUUCUCGCUCUGGAGGUCCGGUCGUGUGCUCGCCAGCAACCCCCAAUUUUUUUCAGGUUGACCUCGGAUCAGGUAGGGAUACCCGCUGAACUUAAGCAUAUCAAUAAGCGGA